GUCUAGAUAGUUUAUUUAUAGAAUAAUAAUUUGUGGUGUUAUAGGUGUAUAUUUACUCUGGAUC
rnacentral:tRNA from 1 species